rnacentral:rRNA from 1 species
UACGUAGGGCGCAAGCGUUAUCCGGAAUUAUUGGGCGUAAAGAGCUCGUAGGCGGUUUGUCGCGUCUGCCGUGAAAGUCCGGGGCUCAACUCCGGAUCUGCGGUGGGUACGGGCAGACUAGAGUGAUGUAGGGGGAGACUGGAAUUCCUGGUGUAGCGGUGAAAUGCGCAGAUAUCAGGAGGAACACCGAUGGCGAAGGCGGUCUCUGGGCAUUAACUGACGCUGAGGAGCGAAGCAUGGGGAGCGAACAGG